AUUGAACGCUGGCGGCAUGCUUUACACAUGCAAGUCGAACGGUAGAGGGGCAACCCCUGAGAGUGGCGAACGGGUGAGUAAUGCAUCGGAACGUGCCCAGUAGUGGGGGAUAGCCCGGCGAAAGCCGGAUUAAUACCGCAUGAGACCUGAGGGUGAAAGCGGGGGAUCGCAAGACCUCGCGCUAUUGGAGCGGCCGAUGUCAGAUUAGCUAGUUGGUGGGGUAAAGGCCUACCAAGGCGACGAUCUGUAGCUGGUCUGAGAGGACGACCAGCCACACUGGGACUGAGACACGGCCCAGACUCCUACGGGAGGCAGCAGUGGGGAAUUUUGGACAAUGGGCGCAAGCCUGAUCCAGCCAUGCCGCGUGCGGGAAGAAGGCCUUCGGGUUGUAAACCGCUUUUGUCAGGGAAGAAAUCUUCUGGGCUAAUACCCUGGGAGGAUGACGGUACCUGAAGAAUAAGCACCGACUAACUACGUGCCAGCAGCCGCCGUAAGAC
rnacentral:rRNA from 1 species